rnacentral:rRNA from 1 species
UACAGAGGGGGCAAGCGUUGUUCGGAAUUACUGGGCGUAAGGGGCGCGUAGGCGGCCUGCUAAGUCGAACGUGAAAUCCCCGGGCUCAACCCGGGAACUGCGUCCGAUACUGGCAGGCUUGAAUCCGGGAGAGGGAUGCGGAAUUCCAGGUGUAGCGGUGAAAUGACGUAGAUAUCUGGAGGAACACCGGUGGCGAAGGCGGCAUCCUGGACCGGCAUUGACGCUGAGGCGCGAAAGCCAGGGGAGCAAACGGG